UACAGAGGUCUCAAGCGUUGUUCGGAUUCAUUGGGCGUAAAGGGUGCGUAGGUGGCGUGGUAAGUCGGGUGUGAAAUUUCGGAGCUUAACUCCGAAACUGCAUUCGAUACUGCCGUGCUUGAGGACUGGAGAGGAGACUGGAAUUUACGGUGUAGCGGUGAAAUGCGUAGAUAUCGUAAGGAAGACCAGUGGCGAAGGCGGGUCUCUGGACAGUUCCUGACGCUGAGGCACGAAGGUCAGGGGAGCAAACGGG
rnacentral:rRNA from 1 species